ensembl:lncRNA
AGGGAAAAGUAACCGUCAGUCCAGGAGAUUGUGUGGAUUGUCCAGGGGUCAAUGCCAGGGUCAGAAUCCAGCUGCCCAGAGUCCCAGCUUGGCCACCCACAGCUGUUGGCUCUUUGCAUAUAUCCGGAUGCCACGCAGGCCGUCCCUGUGACUCUUGAUGUGGGACAGUCGGCCAGCCUAUCCCCAAGAAAGCAUGGGGUCUUCAGUGGCCCUUUGCUUCCUGCGCCUGCCCCUCUCCGUUUUCCAAGACACAGGGUUCUUCUUCAGCUGGGAGGACCUGCUCCAGAGAGGAGAAACGCGGCGCGGGUGGUGGGGAAGGAAGGGUUGCAGUUGUCAUGGUGGGGAGCUACCGCUGGCAUCUGGGGGCAGAGGCCAGUGGCACUAAGAAUACAACCCUCCCCGAAGAGAACCUCGCCAGGCAUUUGCAAUGGACACUGUAUUAAAAGUGCUCCGGGUACAAAGUCAGGGGAGCCGUAUAGCGAGUCCUCCCUGGAACUGUCUUUCUGUAAAACGGAAGCCCUCCCUGCUCCCCAGUGUCUCUCUCAAAAAACGAGGACUAGCAAGGACGGGGGACCGGGAGAGGGGGUGGCGGGGGGGCUGUACAGUAGCCCUUGGUACUGUGGAACAGAGCACGAUACGAACGCAGAGGAGCUCAAAUCCAAGUCCCUGAGGAAUUGUGGGGCCAGCACGACUGACCAGACAAGAGUCAGGGAGAAGUGUGGGUGUUUCCUUUAUUUCCUCCAAAUCUCAGAGCCACAGUCUGUAGGAGCAGAGGGUUAACGGUACACCCAUCACGACCAGGGCUUGCCUGGAACAGAUUAGCUCAGGACAGUGCCUGGUCAGCCCCGGGGAUCGGGGACCAGAGACCGCGGUCCGUCUCACAGAAGCGCAGAGCCCCUGGCUAUAGAGAACGCGGUGCCGGCGCCCAGCCCCAGGACAGGCGGGGUUUUCUGCGACCGAUCGGGUUCCAGGAACGAACUUGAGUGCUGACCGUGUGUGGAACCCCGGCCCAACCCUCGCGGUCCCCGAGGAUCCUGUCGGCGCUCUGAGCGCGGAUUUCGGUCCCAGUGCACGCUGUGUAAAUACCGAACCGGCCCUCGCAGGCUUCUAGCGGUCGCCUCGGGCCUCGCCUAGGGAGCUCCAAAGGCUCGCACCGGAACGUGGGCCUUAAACUCGGGCGAGGUGCGCGCGCAGUCAGCACAGGCCAAGAACCCGCCGACCCUGCCAAGGCCCCGCCCCGCCC